GACUCCGCCAAGAUCUCUGGAAUCGUAUAAGCGAACGCGCCCAUCGCCAACCGUUUGUCUUCAUUCGAUCAAACUGAUCAAAACAUGACUGCUGCCCUCUUCCGGUGCGACCCAUCCGCCGGAUGUCGCGAGUGCACCCAUUCCAGCAAAAAUUCCGCAAGGAACGCAAUUUCUUUUUUGUGAGUGGAUCGAUGAGAGUUUCGAGUUUUCCAGCGAUGUUUCCGUCGUGCUAUCACCUUAGUGUGAUUGUGGUUAUGAAAAAUUGCUUUCCAACGAGUGGGAAAGGUAUUUUUGGAAUAGUGGUGGAUUUUAUUCUUUUUAUACGCGAAUAACACUUUGUCCUAUGGUGGAAGUAUCGGCUUAAACGCGUGUAAAGGUGAGUUAAUGACCUCGAAGUCGAGCUGCUGAUUCUAAUGAAGAAAUUCAUGUCGGACCGUUGAGAGAGGCGCUAGCACGCUCUUGUGAAACGAGAGAGUUCUUCUGCCGGCUAAGGACACUUUGAUGAUGUUUGCGUAUUAACUAAUGAUCCUCUCCACCUAUGUGCAUUCCCUGAUGAAGGAAAUUAUGGUUGAAAUUGAUGCGCGUGCCGCUGUUAACGAGCCGUGUGCAUCGCGUGUUGCCAUUUUUGGUUUAGGUCGACGUUACACGCGUAUUAUUCAGGUAAUUUGAAUUUCUUUGGCGAUGAUUUAAAUCUGAAUCGGCGAAGAUUAAUAAAAGAGAAGAAUAAAGGUUAAUAAAAUUUGAAAAGUAAUAUGGAACAGAUUAAGAUCCGAGGAAUAAGAAAAAAUUAUAUAAUUCCUCGAAAAUGACGUUAAGGAAUAAAUAAGUUGCAGGAAGUUAACCGCCAUUAUAAACAUUUCCUCGUUAAUCAUAACGACCGGUGCAUUGAAACAUGCUUCAUCGACCUUUGAGCAAGUUUUCUAUUAGUCGUGCUCGAGUUUUUCCACGGUUAGCAAUUCGCUCUGAAUUGCAGAUUUUCCAUUUUCUUAAUUGCAACGCGCGCUGUCACCCCUUUUUUCUUCCUAUCGUCCAGGCAAUCUGUAAUGUGUCAGGAUUACAUACCGCGAUUAGGUACUCACAUAUCGUAAAUACAUUAAUACAUUUUAUCGAUGGCUUACCUUGAUAAUUUUUUUACAAUGCAAACGGUUUAAACAAGAUUUAUUUGAGAUAUAGUCGCAUCCCGUCAGCGCAAUGUUAAGUAUAUGAAUUAAUCAUCAUAAAUUAUUAUUUUAUAAGAAUAAAUUAAUUUUUCUGUAGGUUUAAGUAAAAGCGUUGAUCUUCGCCUUACUUGAUUGAGAUACGAUUACCUGAUCACGAGAUACUAAAAGUCAUCUAACUUAUUAAAAUCUUCUUAAUAGUUACCGAAUUGCGAAUUUUAUAAGUGGGCUGUGGAUUUUUAUGCAAAUUCAUAUUUUUUUAUGAACACAACUGAAAAAUAGAAUCUACAUAGAGAU